CCACCUUGCCCCCAUCCCACAAAUAUCCCUGAGUCCCUAUUUUCAGGGAAGUGAAUUUGAGGCUCAUGCUCUCACUUCCUCACGUGGCUGCCUUGUGAGUAAACCCUCUCUCUGCUACAAUCUUCUCAUCUUAGUGUUUGGCUUCCUGGGCGGCGGGCAAAGACAAACCUGGUUCUGUAACAAAUGACGAGCCAGCUAGGAGCUAAGUCCAGAGGGACCUUUUUGCCUGAGACUCAUCAGCCCCUUGCCAGGGUGGAGAACCUGUGGAGUCCAGCAGCUGCCGGGAGCAUUUCCCCUGGGACUGUUCCGGGAUUCUUUCCUGGCUUGGCGCUGCCAACUCCUCGGCGCAUAUUUUCACUUUGCAGUAGAGAGACGGUUUCUCGGUUUGGACGACGUCUUUUUGGACACAAUUGGAAAUAUUGCUUAUCUUACCAAAGCUUUGACUGGAAUGUCAUAUUUGAGAGAAGCAUACAGGCUCAGAUACGACAAGACAACUUUUGAGGAAUAAAGGUUGACUUCCUGGGAUAAAGCCACUUGGAAACAUUAGCCUGGUACCUUGUUUACAAGGAUUCCAGCAACCCAGAAAUACUCGUUAUCAAAUACCUGGUUACUUGCUAACACAAUAUAGGCUGAACUUUGGGAGCCUACCUGCAUCACCAUCUUACUAAGAGACUGGUUCAAUGAGAUGGAACAACCUAUGCCCCUCAUCAAAAGGAUAAUCCCUCAAGACUGAAGAUGAACAACAAAAGAGGGGAUUGAUGCCAGUCAACAGAAUGUUGACAUAAGGGAAGCCAUAUUGUAAAACAGAAACCAUACCGUAACUUUGAAUGACUUCUGAUUAACUAACCCAGACAUGGUCUGUAUAUUUUAUGAACCCUCUCAGCUGCUAUAAGAUGAUAACUUUGCUCUUUUGAGUUCCUUAGGAAUGUGAUGACCCCCAGGCAGAGAGUCUGUGCUGAUGGGCAUCAUCAAUGACAACUGAAAGAUCAGGAUAUAGGCUGUUGCUGUGGUCUCUGAUGCACAUCCAGUAAAACAAAAGACUAUCAGGAACUGAGACCAGAUGUCUGCCCCACCUGGAGAUCAGAUGGAGGCCCCACUGGGAUUAGGUCUAUUUUUCAGGGAUUGUUAAAAUUUGGGUUGUCUAAACUUCUUACCCUUCUGGUAAGCUGAGAAAAAGAGAAUAUUUCCAGAUGAGUGCUAAACUGUUUCAUUCCUUUAACCCAGAUCUAUGCCCCAAUUCAGCAGGAAGUAGCUAGAUUAGUCAUUGCCCCAAAUUCCUCAAAAUAAGGAAUGACCAAAGAAUAGGGGGGAUUGAAACCGGCAAACAGUCCUUGAUGAUUGGGCAUCUAGGUACUAAAGUUUUUCCUUUUUGCUAUUACUGAUUAUAGCUUUUAGUUGUUUAACCCACCCAUUGUUAACU